CUUAGUAGCGGCGAGCGAACAGGGAAGAGCCCAGCACUGAAGCCCGCGGUCGGAAACGGUCGCCGGGCAAUGUAGUGUUUAGGAGAGCCCGUCUAACCCGAAUGCGUAUGAUGUGUCCAAGUCCUUCUUGAACGGGGCCACUCGCCCAUAGAGGGUGCCAGGCCCGUAGUGACCGUCAUCGAGUUCGGGUGGGUUUCUCCUUAGAGUCGGGUUGCUUGAGAGUGCAGCUCUAAGUGGGUGGUAAACUCCAUCUAAGGCUAAAUAUGACCACGAGACCGAUAGCGAACAAGUACCGUGAGGGAAAGUUGAAAAGAACUUUGAAGAGAGAGUUCAAGAGUACGUGAAACCGUUCAGGGGUAAACCUGAGAAACCCGAAAGAUCGAAGGGGGAGAUUCAAUUGCCUCGCCGGUGGUGACCUCUUGUCGGCGUUUCAAUAUUGGGACGGAAUGUUUUGCAUUUUUGGUUUGCGCCUUAAUGUUUUGAACAUUUCGCCCCGUUGGCAAGAGUUUUGUUCAUGGCCGGAGGUAUGCACUUCUCCCCUUGUAGGACGUUGCAACCCGUUGGGUGCUGGUCUAAGGCCCGCGCGGUAGACCGUGGCGGCAUGCUUGUCAUGUUGACCCGGGCCCGUGGUGUUUCCCGGCCGGCUGCCCGACGGUAUAUUGACAAGCUGGUGUUGGGUCGCUGUGUCAAGCAAUUGAUACAACGAGCGUUACUUCGGCCCUUGGCAAGUUGUUAUGCGGACCGUAGAAAUCGGACUUAGUUGCCGGUUCUGCACCCAUACACACUGUUGGCUAAGGUGUCCCCUGAAACCGAUCCCAUGCAUCCGUUGGCAACGCUUCAGCUUUGGGUAAUUUCAGGACCCGUCUUGAAACACGGACCAAGGAGUCUAGCAUGUGCGCGAGCCAUUGGGACUCAAUAAACCUAAAGGCGUAAUGAAAGUAAAGAUCUUGUCUUGCACACAGAUCUAGGGAAGAUGGGCGGUACUGUGGUACUACCUCGCACUCCCGGGGCGUCUCGCACUCAUUGCGAGGUGGGGCGCACCUAGAGCGUACAUGCUGGACCCGAAAGAUG
rnacentral:rRNA from 1 species